rnacentral:rRNA from 1 species
UACGAAGGGGGCUAGCGUUGCUCGGAAUCACUGGGCGUAAAGGGCGCGUAGGCGGCCUGCUAAGUCGAACGUGAAAUCCCCGGGCUCAACCCGGGAACUGCGUCCGAUACUGGCAGGCUUGAAUCCGGGAGAGGGAUGUGGAAUUCCAGGUGUAGCGGUGAAAUGCGUAGAUAUCUGGAGGAACACCGAUGGCGAAGGCAGCCUCCUGGGCCAGCACUGACGCUCAUGCACGAAAGCGUGGGGAGCAAACAGG